rnacentral:rRNA from 1 species
AAUAGAUACCCAGGUAGUCCACCCCGUAAACGUUGGGAACUAGUUGUGGGGUCCUUUCCACGGAUUCCGUGACGCAGCUAACGCAUUAAGUUCCCCGCCUGGGGAGUACGGCCGCAAGGCUAAAACUCAAAGGAAUUGACGGGGACCCGCACAAGCGGCGGAGCAUGCGGAUUAAUUCGAUGCAACGCGAAGAACCUUACCAAGGCUUGACAUACACGAGAACACUCUGGAAACAGGGGACUCUUUGGACACUCGUGAACAGGUGGUGCAUGGUUGUCGUCAGCUCGUGUCGUGAGAUGUUGGGUUAAGUCCCGCAACGAGCGCAACCCUCGUUCUAUGUUGCCAGCACGUUAUGGUGGGAACUCAUGGGAUACUGCCGGGGUCAACUCGGAGGAAGGUGGGGAUGACGUCAAAUCAUCAUGCCCCUUAUGUCUUGGGCUUCACGCAUGCUACAAUGGCCGGUACAAAGGGCUGCAAUACCGUGAGGUGGAGCGAAUCCCAAAAAGCCGGUCCCAGUUCGGAUUGAGGUCUGCAACUCGA